AGGGCACCACCAGGAGUGGAGCCUGCGGCUUAAUUUGACUCAACACGGGAAGACUUACCCGGCCCGGACACUUAUGGGAUUGUCAUACUGAUAGCUAUUACAUGAUCAGGUGGGUGGUGGUGCAUGGCCGUUCUUAGUUGGUGGAGCGAUUUGUCUGGUUAAUUCCGAUAACGAACGAGACUCUGGCCUACUAACUAGAUGGAGGAUCCCUUUAUGGGUUCUUCACUGCUUCUUAGAGGGACGGGCGGCGUUUAGCCGCACGAGAUUGAGCAAUAACAGGUCUGUGAUGCCCUUAGAUGUUCUGGGCUGCACGCGCGCUACACUGAAGGAAUCAGCGUGUCCUCCCCGCUCUGAAAAGAGUGGGUAACCCGUUGAAACUCCUUCGUGAUGGGGAUUGGAGAUUGUAAUUAUUCUCCAUGAACGAGGAAUUCCCAGUAGGCGCGAGUCAUCAGCUUGCGUCGAUUACGUCCCUGCCCUUCGUACACACCGCCCGUCGCUACUACCGAUCGAGUGAUUUAG
rnacentral:rRNA from 1 species